CUUUCCUUCUUUAAUCUCUGAUGGUCGUUAUCUCUGGGCCCACUGGACUAUCUCGCGCGUGCACGCGGAACCGGAGUAGAGACGGGGUUUCACCGUAGCCAGAAUGGUCUUGAUCUCCUGACCUCGUCAUCCGCCCGCCUCGGCCUCCCAAACUGCUGGGCUUACAGGCGUGAGACACUGCGCCCGGCGCAUACUACUACUUUUUUUUCACGUGCACUCUAGAUGAUAGUGAAUGAAUACCUUAUAUGGAGUCCAGCCAUGACCAAAAGACAGGAGCUAACACUCAGCUUCAUGGAAAGGCCCGACCUAAUGUCCAGGAAUAGACUCCUGAG